CAGCCGCCGCGGUAAUACGUAGGUGGCAAGCGUUGUCCGGAAUGAUUGGGCGUAAAGGGUGCGUAGGCGGAUUGUUAAGUCAGGGGUGAAAUCCCUAGGCUCAACCUCGGAACUGCCUUUGAUACUGGCGAUCUUGAGUCCGGGAGAGGUGAGUGGAACUGCGAGUGUAGAGGUGAAAUUCGUAGAUAUUCGCAAGAACACCGGUGGCGAAGGCGGCUCACUGGCCCGGUACUGACGCUGAGGCACGAAAGCGUGGGGAGCAAACAGGAUUAGAUACCCCCGUAGUCCCUGUCUCUUAUAC
rnacentral:rRNA from 1 species